rnacentral:lncRNA from 1 species
GCCCAGUCCCCCAUCCCGCCGGAUUCCAGACCUGAGGCUGGGGAGGCUGGUGUCCGCGCACCCCCGAGACCUCGCCGGACUACGCCAAGCCUCUUAGAGGACGUAGGAGCUCCUGAAGGUCUCCCACGCUCCAACCCACGGCCUCCGCUCGUCCUGCCCCCCCGCCCCGAGUGCUCCAGUCGGCUGUGCUGACCUCGCAGCUCUUCCGCCCCAUAAGCGCGGCUCUGCGCGCUGUCCAACAGCGCCCUCUGGCGGGCGCUCCGGGGAGAUGCAGUCAGGAAAGAGAAUGAGGGACAGAGUGAAAUCUCACCUCCUCUUCCACCUAAGACUGACACCUCUGCUAUCUUGGCCUCCUUCAGGAAGGCUUUCUGGAGACUGAAGCGGACGGGGCAGAUUUGGGACCCUACCCUCGAUUCUUGCAGCCUGGCAAGAACCCUGCCUUCAUGGCAGGGCCAGUCCAUUUGCAGCUUUGCCCUCCCCAUCUCAGUGGCUUUCUUUUCCGCCAGGGUCCCUCUCAUAUCUGCAGGGCCUCAGAAAAUUAAGAAAUAAAAGCCCUUUCUCAUCAGAUCCGGAGAUCC